GGGGUCAAUUGGAGCUUCAAACUGAAAAGUGUAACUUUCUGUCUUAUCUGAGAGAGUUGACUCAGGGAUCUUUGGAGUCAACCUAUAGAUCUAUGCCAUUUGAGUUUUGGAUGCCAAAGUCAUCUCAUUGAAAUUUGGGGUUGACUCUUGGCUUUCACCAUCUUAUUUCUCACAAUGUCACUUCUCAAAUUUGCUUUCUUUUACCCCCCAACUUUGGCAAUAGCUUGAGCAUUCCUAAAAAUAAUUUUAGCUCUCUGAAACUUUCUCAA
rnacentral:lncRNA from 1 species